CCGCCGCUGCCGCGGCCCCGCUCGUCCCGGCCUGCGCGCUGCGGGCCCGGGUGGGCGCUGGAGCGGGGGCGGCCCGGCCCCGGCCCCCCGCAGGCCCCCGCGCGGAGGCCCCGACCCCCGGAGGCCGCCUGCACCGUGCGGGGCCCCUCACGCUGGUGGGACCUGCGUGGGCUCCCGUGGGACCCCGCGGCGGAGACGCCGGGCAGGUGGGGUCCCACUGCAGGCGCGCGGCGCUCCUGCGAGACCCGCCGGGACCUCACCCUCGGCUGGUGACGCUGCUAGAUGGAGGGGCAUCUUGCUCCCCCUCUGCCCCCACACACCCAGAGCAGGGCCCUGCCCUGCACGCAGCCUGGCAGCAACCACCAGCUAGAGGCAACGCGGAUGUAUCUCAGCGCGCCCCAAAUCCUCCCCCGGCCAGAGACUGAGAUCCCCUUUGACUCCCAGCUGGAAGGAGACCUCGUGCCGCGCAUGUACCUCGUGACUUUCGCUGGCAGCAUUCCCAACUUGCAUGGAGAGCGAUCCCUGUGCACGCCAUUCCCACAGGGCAACCCCACGUACCUUGGUGACCUCCCCUGACCGGAGAAGGACCCCCAUGUGGAUCGCCUGUGUCCUACAGAGUGGCCAGAGCCUACACACGGUACCCCAGAAAAAUCUCCUGACAACUCCCCUAGCUAGAGAAAACCCCUCUCUGACACCUGGCCACUUCAGGGGCACCUCUACCCCCAUCGGUGUUGUCCUCCCCCUUUCCCUUUGUGCCCAGUCUUUCUUUUGCUCAAACACUUCCACAGCUGCCUCUCUUAGUUCAAAACCCCUUUCCCCAGCAAAAGGUGCCAGUACAGACUGUCCGCAACACUCGGGCACCUCUGCCGGCUAACAGACUGCCCUAGUCCUAACUAGGCUUCCCCUGGCUACAGUCGGUUCUCUCCAGGGAACACCCCUGCAAAGUCUCAGUCUGUCCUCAUAACACCGCAUCUUAGCAUGAAAUCCCUCUCCGAUGGUCAACGUGUCUAUCCGUAGCACAGAGCCCAACAUCGCUCACCCCACACCUCCACCCUCCAUCCUAUCGCCAGCUCUUGGUGUAACUGUCUCCCACCCUCACUGGGAGGAAGAGCCGGGAGCAGAAUUCAGGGGCUCACGGUGUUCAUGGAGGUAAUUGCCUGUUUGUGGAGGCAACUGCCCAGCUGCUCUAUUCAAAUAUUCUGGCUGCUGGAUUUGCCGUGCAGAAGAUAUUAGUCCCACUGCAAGAUACUGCAAGCAAAGAAGAAAGCUAUUCAUCUAAAAUAGCAAUUAGGUCAUGCUGCAGCUGAAUACAGAGCACAAGACUCUGUCCUCUGUCUAGUUGCUAGCUUUCCAGGAAAAAAGAUUUAUUGGGUUCUGGAGAUUCAGUUCUUAUCUUCCGGGCUAAUCAUGUGAAUGGUCAGUGGAUCUAAAGGACUGCUGCUGGGUAAUUGUGACUUCUCUUGAGAGAGGUAUUUCACUUGGACAAUGGAGACAUCACUUUAGAAUGACACUCAUGGACAUACCUCACAAGCGUUCCUGGUGAGAAAGCACCUGAAUGCUUUCCAAAGUGCACGCUGACAUGACUAAUGUUUGAGUCUCUCCCUGAACCCUUUAUUAUGCUAGGGGAUAACAUGGAAAUGCAGAGCAGAGGGCAGGAUAGGUGUGUUCACCAAAGCUAGAGCCACAUCAAGGGGCUCUGCAGCCCACUCGGAUGAGAUGCAGUCACCUUGGCUGUAGGGAUGCUAGUGCUCAUGGGAAUCUGCCCCAAUUGUCAGUGUGUGUUUUCAGCUAAGGGAUUCAGUCAGAGCUUCUCUCAGCCAGGCAACGUAUCCUCCACUCUGCUUUGGUUCCACCUCAGCAAGCUGCCCCUGACCCGUGCGCAGCACCAAAGGGUUUCCUGAUAAUAGGUUUGUCAUGUGCAAUGAAAGAAAGGUAAAGCUAUGAUUCAUCCAUGUACUGCUAGCUGUCAAAUCUGAGAUGCUUCCCAGUCCUCCCCAGGGACUCGCACUGAUAUUGGGCAGAGACGUAUACCUCAAGGCCUCUGGUGUCAUGAGAGAGGAGGGCAAUGCCACCUCCUGCGUUGUGGUGAAGGCUGCAGGCGGACUCCCAGAGAGCAGAAGUGGAUGGCUGACCUCCAUCUACUAAAUGCAAGAGUAAAAAUGAUAAAGACAUGCAAUUCUGCAAACUCCGGUGUAGUUUAUGAAGUCUGGGGAGAAAACUCUUCAAGGGGAAAUUGUUUCAGAACUGCUCUUAGGAGGUUUCUCAUGCCUUUUUCUAAACUGAGUGGGACUAGCCACUGCUGAGGAGAAGCACUGGUCUGGAAAACCUAUUGUUCUUCAAAUAUUCCCAUGGAGGGGAUGGACACUUGGAAAUGCUGGUGGGUGUGUUUGUUUUAAUCAUUAUGUGGAGUACACAGUUAUGAUGAUAUAAAACAUACAUAUGUUCAUGUCUGUGUCAGAGUUUCAUGGUGCUACCU